rnacentral:rRNA from 1 species
UACGGAGGAUCCAAGCGUUAUCCGGAAUCAUUGGGUUUAAAGGGUCCGUAGGCGGGUCAAUCAGUCAGUGGUGAAAGUCUGCAGCUUAACUGUAGAAUUGCCAUUGAUACUGUUGACCUUGAGUAAUUAUGAAGUGGUUAGAAUAUGUAGUGUAGCGGUGAAAUGCAUAGAUAUUACAUAGAAUACCGAUUGCGAAGGCAGAUCACUAAUAAUUUACUGACGCUGAGGGACGAAAGCGUAGGUAGCGAACAGG